UACUUGCUAAACCAAAAAUCAGUGUCCU
rnacentral:sRNA from 1 species